GAUGAACGCUGGCGGCGUGCCUAAUACAUGCAAGUCGAACGGAAAGGCCUCUUCGGAGGUACUCGAGUGGCGGACGGCUGAGUAACGCGUAGGAAUGUACCCCACAGUGAUGAAUAAUUCGCUGAAAAGCGGACUAAUACCGCAUGUGCUCUAAGGAGUAAAGCUUCGGCGCUUUGGGAACAGCCUGCGUAAGAUUAGCUUGUUGGUGAGGUAAUGGCUCACCAAGGCGACGAUCUUUAGCUGGUCUGAGAGGACGAUCAGCCACACUGGGACUGAGACACGGCCCAGACUCCUACGGGAGGCAGCAGUGGGGAAUUUUGGACAAUGGGCGAAAGCCUGAUCCAGCAAUGCCGCGUGUGUGAAGAAGGCCUUCGGGUUGUAAAGCACUUUUGUCCGGAAAGAAAUGGCUCUGGUUAAUACCUGGGGUCGAUGACGGUACCGGAAGAAUAAGGACCGGCUAACUACGUGCCAGCCGCCGCCGUAA
rnacentral:rRNA from 1 species